rnacentral:rRNA from 1 species
UACGGGGGGGGGCAAGCGUUGUUCGGAAUUACUGGGCGUAAAGGGCGCGUAGGCGGCUCGCUAAGUCGGAUGUGAAAACUCUGGGCUCAACCCAGAGCCUGCAUUCGAAACUGACGAGCUCGAGUUCUGGAGGGGAAAGCGGAAUUCCUGGUGUAGCGGUGAAAUGCGUAGAUAUCAGGAGGAACACCGGUGGCGAAGGCGGCUUUCUGGACAGAAACUGACGCUGAUGCGCGAAAGCCAGGGGAGCAAACGGG